rnacentral:rRNA from 1 species
GAUGAACGCUAGCGGCAGGCUUAAUACAUGCAAGUCGAGGGGCAGCAUGACUGUAGCAAUACAGUUGAUGGCGACCGGCAAACGGGUGCGGAACACGUACAGAACCUUCCUUCGAGCGGGGAAUAGCCCAGAGAAAUUUGGAUUAAUACCCCAUAGUACAACGGAGUGGCAUCACUUUGUUGUUAAAGAUUUAUCACUUGAAGAUGGCUGUGCGGCUGAUUAGGUAGUUGGCGGGGUAACGGGCCCACCAAGCCUGCGAUCAGUAACUGGUGUGAGAGCACGACCAGUCACACGGGCACUGAGACACGGGCCCGACUCCUACGGGAGGCAGCAGUAAGGAAUAUUGGUCAAUGGACGAAAGUCUGAACCAGCCAUGCCGCGUGGAGGAUGAAGGUCCUCUGGAUUGUAAACUUCUUUUAUAUGGGACGAAAAAGGGUUUUACUACUCGUCUGACGGUACCAUAUGAAUAAGCACCGGCUAACUCCGUGCCAGCAGCCG